rnacentral:rRNA from 1 species
ACUCCUACGGAAGGCAGCAGUGGGGAAUUUUGGACAAUGGGCGCAAGCCUGAUCCAGCCAUGCCGCGUGAGUGAAGAAGGCCUUCGGGUUGUAAAGCUCUUUCGGCCGGGAAGAAAUCGCAUGGGUUAAUACCCUGUGUGGAUGACGGUACCGGAAUAAGAAGCACCGGCUAACUACGUGCCAGCAGCCGCGGUAAU